AUUGAACGCUGGCGGCAGGCCUAACACAUGCAAGUCGAACGAGUGGCGGACGGGUGAGUAAUGUAUGGGAAACUGCCCGAUAGAGGGGGAUAACUACUGGAAACGGUAGCUAAUACCGCAUACUAUCCGAUGAGCCCAUAUGGGAUUAGCUUGUAGGUGGGGUAAAGGCUCACCAAGGCGACGAUCUCUAGCUGGUCUGAGAGGAUGACCAGCCACACUGGAACGGAGACACGGUCCAGACUCCUACGGGAGGCAGCAGUGGGGAAUAUUGCACAAUGGGCGCAAGCCUGAUGCAGCCAUGCCGCGUGUAUGAAGAAGGCCUUCGGGUUGUAAAGUACUUUCAGCGGGGAGGCGUUACCCGCAGAAGAAGCACCGGCUAACUCCGUGCCAGCAGCCGCGGUAAUAC
rnacentral:rRNA from 1 species